GACGAACGCUGGCGGCGUGCUUAACACAUGCAAGUCGAACGGAAAGGCCCUGCUUUUGUGGGGUGCUCGAGUGGCGAACGGGUGAGUAACACGUGAGUAACCUGCCCUUGACUUUGGGAUAACUUCAGGAAACUGGGGCUAAUACCGGAUAGGAGCUCCUGCUGCAUGGUGGGGGUUGGAAAGUUUCGGCGGUUGGGGAUGGACUCGCGGCUUAUCAGCUUGUUGGUGGGGUAGUGGCUUACCAAGGCUUUGACGGGUAGCCGGCCUGAGAGGGUGACCGGCCACAUUGGGACUGAGAUACGGCCCAGACUCCUACGGGAGGCAGCAGCGGGGAAUAUUGCACAAUGGGCGGAAGCCUGAUGCAGCAACGCCGCGUGCGGGAUGACGGCUUUCGGGUUGUAAACCGCUUUCGCCUGUGACGAAGCGUGAGUGACGGUAAUGGGUAAAGAAGCACCGGCUAACUACGUG
rnacentral:rRNA from 1 species